rnacentral:rRNA from 1 species
GUUAAAACUCAAAUGAAUUGACGGGGGCCCGCACAAGCGGUGGAGCAUGUGGUUUAAUUCGAUGCAACGCGAAGAACCUUACCUACUCUUGACAUCCAGCGAAUCCUUUAGAGAUAGAGGAGUGCCUUCGGGAGCGCUGAGACAGGUGCUGCAUGGCUGUCGUCAGCUCGUGUUGUGAAAUGUUGGGUUAAGUCCCGCAACGAGCGCAACCCUUAUCCUUGUUUGCCAGCACAUAAUGGUGGGAACUCCAGGGAGACUGCCGGUGAUAAACCGGAGGAAGGUGGGGACGACGUCAAGUCAUCAUGGCCCUUACGAGUAGGGCUACACACGUGCUACAAUGGCAGAUACAGAGGGCAGCGAAGCUGCGAAGUGGAGCGAAUCCCUUAAAGUUUGUCGUAGUCCGGAUUGGAGUCUGCAACUCGACUCCAUGAAGUCGGAAUCGCUAGUAAUCGUGGAUCAGAAUGCCACGGUGAAUACGUUCCCGGGCCUUGUACACACCGCCCGUCACACCAUGGGAGUGGGCUGCACCAGAAGUAGAUAGCUUAACCUUCGGGAGGGCGUUUACCACGGUGUGGUUCAUGACUGGGGUGAAGUCGUAACAAGGUAGCCCUAGGGGAACCUGGGGCUGGAUCACCUCCUUAC